AUUUGUUCCACGCGUGGAUUGUAAACAGAUACGGUGUUUCCUGUUGUGAAUAAUUCAAAAAAAUUAUUACAUCGUAUAUUGCUUUUCAAGAGAGUUUUUGAUCUUGUUGAAAAAAAUCAUAUUUACGGAUAGAUUCAUGCAUCGAUCAGUGGCAUAAAUUCAAGUGAAUUCAUGGAAUAUCUUCCGUUAUAAAUGUUUGCGCCGCUACCGUGAUUCAUGUUUUGACGUGAUUCCAAAACUGUGACCAAUGUUUUGCUAACCGGUGUCUGAAUGGCGAGAAACUAACAAUAAUUGUUGAUGGUUGAUGUGUAAACACCAUGAGUGAAAUACCAGCAAGCAACGCAUCUGAUGAUGAAGAACAAGUAGAGAGGGAAAUGGAUGACUUACCAGAGGACAAUGAUGGUCCUGGCUGGACAAUUCCUGAUGGAAACUCGACAGGAAGUACUGCUCAGGAAGAAGAAGAGUCAGAAUCCAGCAAAGACGGCUCACAGAAGGUCCACCAGAGCAUGUUUACUGACAGCGAUGGAGGGAGCACCAUUAAAAUGAAUGAGCAAUGUCACUCAGAUGCAACUCAGACAGGUGAGGAUGCCCCUGGUGCUCAUUCCAUUGACCCUUCUAACAUGGAUACUGACCAGUCAAACAGUGAUGCCAAGGGAGAAGGACAGUUCAUUGUGACAGAGAGAGAGUUGGAUAAAGAUAACAAUUCGGAGACGAUGAGCGAGACGAGCGACAUUGUAAACAACAACAAGAUGCAGAGUCCCAGGCAAAUAUUUCCCGAAGAACAGAGAUCCCUGCUAGAGAGCCUACCUUCCUCUAACAAACUCAGGACCGUACCCAGCUCUGGGAGUUUAUUCAGCGAGGAAGGAUAUCAAACAUUUCCCGGGGCAGAGCAGAGUCAGGAGCUACUGAAGCGAGAGGUUUAUGGUCAUGAAGAUGACAAUGAAAGCGAGGCCGUCAGUUCUUGUACUGACACCAGUAACCUAGCUCAGUUAAUUGUUGACCAUGUCCUAGAAAAUGUGGUGGGUUCAGUUCAAGACGAGAGUGAUUCUGAUUCUUCCCUGAAACAAAUCGUGGAAAAUCUAGAAAAUGCUUUAGAGACUGAAGAAAAUGAGGAGAGUAUGGACCAGAGAGAAGAAGAACAGGUGUUAGAGGACAAAGGAUAUGCAUCUAAGAUGGAGUUGGAUACUGAUCUCAAAAUUGAUGAAGAAGCCAUGACAGAUUUCCAACUAAAUGACCCACAGCCCAUAGGUGAAGAGGUUAGGGAGGAAAAUGAUGAGAAGGUGAUAGAUGGAGGUGAUGAAGAGAUAGAAGUGAGACUGCCAGAAGACAACACGGCAUUUGACUCUGAAGAUAGGGCAGUAGAGGGGGCUCAAGCCAUGGAUCAGCUUUCAUCCCAGUCUGAAGUCCCAGGGGUGGAACAAACUCCAGAAGUGGACGAAGAGAAUGUAGAUGACAAACAGUUAGAUAAUGGAGGAUCCACUAGACUUUUGAAGUCUAAAGACAGUGGAGUUUCAAUGAGCUAUGCUGGAGAAAUUAUUGGAAAUUCCCAGUCAGCAGGUGCUGUUGCCUCUACGAGUUCAAAUGUUUCAGAUAGAAUCAGUGACACUAUCCCAGGGAGGAGAAAUCUGUCUGACUCUUUACAAGAGUAUGACACACAGAGACCUUCAGACAAUGUCGUUGAACCAAUGGCAGAAAAGCCUUAUGAAGAGGAUUCAACUUUCAAACGCUUAACGCCUGAAGAAGCCACUAUAAGUUCAGCUGAAAUCAGUGUUCCUGAGAGUUUUGCAGAUCAAAAGGAGAAUAGUAAUUUGGCUUACACAGCUGUUUCCUCUCCAGGCUACACUGAACCUUCCUCAGUCAGAGCUGAUCAAUCCUCAGGAUUCUUAGCCUCCCAAGAAACAGACUCUCAACUUUCAUAUGAAAGAAACAGUUCACCUGCUAAGCCUAUACAAACCCCACCAAGAAUGGUGCUGAGAACCAAGCAAGAUUUUGUUGUUAGUGGAAAUCGCUCAGAGAAAGACCCAAGUUCAAAUGUCAGAGGUCAGGGUCAACAACACCAGAGAGAGGCUGAGAUGCACAGAGAGCAGUUGAUACUAGACAAGGUAAGGAAGGACAUGGCAGCUAAGGAGAGAGAGAUGAGAAGACAGAUAGACAGAGAAAUGACUGAGAGAAUGGAAAGAGCUAGAUUACAACAGGAGCUUUUAUCAAAUGGAGGAGAAUAUUACAGAAGUGAAAAUGACCUGUCAAUGAAUCCAUAUGACCAAUCAAAUGAAUUUGAUAUAACUGAGUCUUCAAGGUUGAAAUAUUCAGACCAAAGUUCUUCAAGGUCCCCGAUCAAUGCUGGAUCCCGCAGCAUGCCCACCAGAAGUUCCUCUGACCUUCGGGUUUCGGAAGAGGAACUCAUAAGACGGUAUCAGAGGGAGUUAUCCCGCUCUGAACAGAGACAUUAUGAUGUCAGCGGAAUAGACACAUAUGCUACUCUCCAAAACCAGCAUCAUCGCAAUGAAAGUGUUUCACUUGACGAUCCACUCAGAAUGGAGGGAAUGUCUUAUGCAGACAUAAAUCGGAGUGAUCGGGGGAUGCCAUCAAAUAUCUAUUCCAGCUAUAACAUUCCUCCUCCACAGUAUAAUGUGUCUACCUCCUUUGGAGCUCAGAACUCUUCCCAUACCUCAUCAGAUCUAGAAGCCCCUCCCCCAAAGUCUGGAUCAGUGCCCCCAUUCAAAACACUCCAUGAACAACAGAUUGGUUGGAUGCGAAUGUUUAAAACCCUAGAGGAGCAGCAUCACAAUGAGCUGAAGAACCAAUACAGACAACAUCAGGAAACCAUCUUCUCUAUGCAGCACCAGAUUGAGAGUGAACUCCUCAACCAACAGCAAACCCUGAAACAGAAGCUGUCAGCUCAUAAAGAGGCUCUUUCUAAUAAUGCCAGUCCCAUCAAACCAAACCAAGACAGGAGACUCAACCACAGUCAACUAAGUGGCCAAAUGCUGGAGAGCUCACGGGGAGACAGCUCUUACAAGAAAUCAGGCUCACCUAAAUCCUCCCCCAAUGCUAGACACAUGGAGCGGUCUCACCAUUCAGACAGGCACGCCUCUCCCCCCUGGAAGGACAUCUACAGAGAGAUUCGUGGGAAGGGUGUUGACAGUGAUCGGGAAACAGAGGACAAUGAGGAGGAGGCAACUCCAAUCAGGCGCUCUUUGGAGGAUGAUUUCAUGUCAACCUCCUCCAUGCUGAGGCAGCCAUUGUCUGAGGAAAUCAGGCCUACCCCAAAGAAAUAUUUUGACCCACUCCCUUCAGAACCCCCAAGGGGUGGUGUGUACAGUAGCCCUAUGCCUGUUCUACGAAAAAGUAACAUAUCUCAGAGCUCAACACGGACUCCAAGUCCAAGGCAGGCAGACAGGAACUCACCUCGUGUUGCUAGCGGCAAUGACCAUUCACAGAGAGGUGACAGGACAGACAGCAGACUGUUGGACAGCUUAGCUGAUGCUCCAAUGGAAAGUUUAACCUCAGAGGAGUCAGCCUCUCAGAGAGCUCAUUUACGAGAGAAGCAUGCCAAGCACUUGUUAGAUCUGAGAGAAUACUAUGAGCAGGAGAUCCAUGAUUUGAGAUUGGCAUUGUCAAGGUCUGAUGACAUCACAAGUAGGUCACCAUUUAAGAGGGUUGCCAAUGAGAACCAAGCACUGAUCACAGAAAACCACUCGCUAAAACAUACAAAUGAGGAGUUGGAAAGUCAGCUAAACAAAGUUGUCAGAGAGAACCGUGAGCUUGAACAGAAGGUCCAUGGACUGGAAAGACGAGCAAGUGAGUACGCUGACUGUUACAAGGAGGCCCAGGACAAGAUCUCCACGUUCCGUAACAAGGUGGAGGAGCUCCAGUACCACAACCGGACAAUGGAGGACCAGGUGCAGCAUCUGGAGUGUCAGCUCAAGAACCAGGCGGAUGCCAUCAAACACUACAAAAAGUCUCAAGAUGAACAGAUGGAAGUUUUACAAAAAGACAGAAAUGCAUAUCACAAGCUUUCUGAUAAGUAUGACAACUUGGAGAGGGAGUUCAAUAUUCUAAAGGAAUCCUUCAAUUCCACAGAAAACAAGUUGUAUGAUGCUCGGUCUGAGGUUGUGGAGCUGAACAGGACAGUAUCAAAGUUGGAACUGGAAAAUAAAAGACUUGGCCGAGAGAACGACAACAUCCGAUAUAAGCUUACCCAAAGUGCUAAUGCUGUAACAAUGCAAGGGAAUGCUGACGACUCUUACUCUAGCCCAGGUAGAAUUCGUCAUCAGUCACCAGCGAGAGAAAGUGGCCUGCAAAAGUCCUACGAUAAAAUGACAGACAAUAGUCCAGAGUCUGCUCAUGCCAGAAGCAGGAGUCAAGAGAUCCCCAUCCGAUUGCUAGGAGACAGACCAAUGGACCGUGACCUUCAUCAGGACCGUCAGGUCAGGUCACGGAGUCAGGUUGACAGUUUUUGUGAGGAGAUGGAAACGAGCUUAAGAGUGAGAGAGCAGAGCACUGAAAGGCGCUCAAAGAACACUUGUAAUACAUAUGCUGAGGUGGAAGAAAUUGAGAAAUCUCAUCAAAGACCAAGAUCUGCCCCAAGCUCCAGAAAUGCUCCGGAGAGACAGAUGAGCCCUGGAGUGGACCAGACAUCACCGGUGCUGAGGGCAGAGAGAGAACUGUAUAAACUACGGGAAAUCAUGAGACAGGCUGAGCAGGUGGUGGAAGCCUCUCCCCCACAGCAUCCCAAGCUACAGAAGAAAUUCUAUGGCAGUGAGUCAGCGCUUUCCAGUAGUAAAUCAGAUUCGGGGUCGUCAAUUCAUAAAUCUGAUUCUUCAUCAAGUCUGAAACUCAAGAAAAAGAAAUCUGUCAACACUUCCCCAGUAAAAUCUCCCAAAGUAAGAACUUCAAUGUCCUCAAGGUUUCAAGAUUCUGAUCCCCUGUCCCCGCCCUCCAAAGCAAAGUUUGAGACGAGUCCCGGUGAAUUUGACACUCCUACACGUUUUGAUAUCGGUGUAAUGGAGAGAUCCUCAAGCAGACGGCAGCACAGCGAUUCCUUGCCAACCAGAGACACUGGAUCUAAACCCAGACAGAGUCCCGCCACCAGGGAUAAACGAAACGGAGAGGUGAGGGGAGGAAACAAAGCAGGCAGAGACAGGAAACCCUUAAAGGCAGAAAAAGAUACACAAGUCCCCAAUGGAACAGUGGAGAACACACUGGCCAAGAUGAAGGAGGGAGAAUUUGUGUCCAGACCUGGCUGGGAGGAUGUUUACACAUCAAUGGCCAAACCCAAGUCAGACUCCAAAGCAACCCCAGUUAAACAGACAGUGAAAAAUCGGAUGGACAACAUAUCAGACUUGGAGGCUAGAUAUGAUGAACUUCAGACCGAGAAAAGAACACUUGAGUCCAAACUGAGCAGAGUACCUUCUCAUGGGAAAGGAAGACAGGAACAGGAGAAUUUAGAAAACAAGUUAGAUACUGUGGAGAAAGAGCUUGGAUCUGUUCGGAUGUCACUGAAAAGAUACCAUGUGCUAAAAACCUCCAUCUAGAUAGAUGAUGGUCCAUGGUACAAUACACUGUGCACCAUUCUAUUAGAUAGCAGUUAGAUUAUAGACAGAGGAUGGAAUAACCAUGAACCUUCACUGUGAAAGGAAAAGUAUACAGCCAAAUGUCCUGUACCAGUUCACUAAGACUAUGGUCCAGCUUUAGUGGAACUAGUCUGUCAGUGGUUUCGUUAGAUGACAGUCCAUGGACAAGCCGAUGUAGUCUUCUCCUCGUCCGUGGUUCGGCCAGUACAUCCGUACCGAGCGUGUUCUAGUUCGCCCGACCCAAUCCCCAGGAAGAAGACUGGGGGUCACCUCCUGUUCAGUAUUUUGCGUUACAUCACACGUUCAGUGAUUUGCUCAGAUAUUUGUGUUUUGUUUUUUGCUACUUGUUACUUGAUGGUGUAGGGGAUUUAGGUUGUUAAGACGUCUGUUGUUAUAUUAAAUAGGGUUUCUGUACUUGUAAACUAGAUGACUAUGUUUCAAUAGUUUUGGUGCAGAAUAUCAGGACUGACACAUUACAUUGCAGUCCGUCUCUGGUUGUAGAUCUGCAAACAUGUAUCAAUUUUAUAUAUCAACUAGAAUCUAGUCCAGAUCCAUCUAUGUUAUUUAUUUUGUUUGAUAUUCUUUGUUUAUAGCACGGCUAGAGCAGAUUUUAUACAUGUACAGUGUAUAUAUACAUGUAGUAUAUGCUCUACAAUAUCAGACCUUAUAUCAGAUUCUGUGUAGGCAUCUAGAGGAAGAAACCUGCAAGUGCUUUGCCUCACAUUGCCUUAACUAAUGCACCAUUACUCAGAGAUGGCACCAAAGUUCAUUCCUUGAGAUGUUGAUAGUAUACAAUGACGUCACAGGACUGCACAAAUAGCCAUUGGCACCAAUCACUGGAUAUUUGUAGGACGUGGAGUCUUCACCAAACUUCACAGAUAUCACAAGAUAUUUUAUAUUGCACUACACGUGUACUGUAUUCACUGCAGAAUAUCAGUUAUGUAUUUUUUUAUUUAUCGAAUUAAAUAUGAAGUUU
rnacentral:sRNA from 1 species